AUCGGACGUCCAUCGUCCACCCUCCUGAGGACCACGUGGUGAUUAAGGGGACCACGGCCACGCUGCACUGUGGAGCCACACAUGACCCCCGAGUUUCACUCCGCUACGUUUGGAAGAAGGACAACGUGGCCCUGACUCCAUCGAGCACGUCUAGGAUCGUGGUGGAGAAGGACGGGUCCCUUCUCAUCAGCCAGACGUGGUCGGGCGACAUCGGUGACUACAGCUGCGAGAUUGUUUCUGAAGGAGGGAACGACUCCAGGAUGGCCCGGCUGGAAGUGAUGUGAGUACUGAGACGUUUGGUGUUAGCCAGUCUGCGGUUUUCUCCGUUACUGUGCCCCUGUUAGUGACUGCCAGUUCACAAGUGUCACGCCCGGCUUGUGUCCUAAGUCAGCAGUCAGAGGCCAGCGCAUCAUGCUACAUAACUACAUAUAUGGACAAGGUUUUUUUGUGGUUUCUUUAAACUUCGGAAUUGAGAAGUUUUGUUUUUGGUGUA
rnacentral:sRNA from 1 species